UGGAUCCGGCUGAUACUGCUAUUGUGUCAGGGUGUGGUUUUAUUCUAUGCGAACUUGAAUUGACAUUGCCAAAAAUAUGGUUAGAAUUCAGACAAUCCAAACCUAAAACUAACAAACUGUGAGUGAUGGCCUCGGUUAUCCAAACUUAGGAAUGACCAAAUUUCCUUUCAAUCAAUUAUCCAUUUAAAGUGAAAGUAAAAAAUUGGAUGACAUUUUCGUGAGAAUCAAAGCAUUUACUAAUCAAUUAUUCUGCCUUUCAGAAAAGAUUGACAGAGACCUCCGUCAGUUUGCGUACUCAUUUAAUUUAUUCUUUAAUUUAUUGUAUUUUGCAUGCCAUGCCAUUGCAUUGUCAUGUCGUACGGCUAUACGAGUGUGCAGUAAUCGGGCAGAUUCUAAGAAAACAAAAUGAUCGAGUCUACUCUCCUUUCCGAGAUUUGUUUAUGGCUUGAUAAACUUUUUAAGCCAUUUGAGGGUUCUAAACUACGAUUGCUGACCAAAAUUAGUUGGCUUCUUAUCGUGGUAAUCGACCAAAGGCCUCCAGGAAUGUCUUUCGAUUUGUGGAUUCUGAUAGCUGGUUUCAGUUUUUGAGCAUUGAUUUUUUUCAACGGCUUCCUUCCACGGUUUAUACCAGUCUCCUAAUUUUCUCAAAGGCCAACAUCUCCGCAUCAUCUGGCCUCGCUGGUAGGGGAACUAUCAGGACCGGUCAAAGGCGUUGUUCUUAUCGAUUAUUUGACAGCCCGGUUUAAUUUCACGUACGAACAUGUUAGAGUGACUGAAACCUGCUGGAACCCACCCAAAAUGGAAGAGGACUUUUUCAGCUACCUUUUUGAUAAUGUGGGUAAUAAUUACGGUGUUACUAUUGGUUACUAUUCUCACUACUUGAUGACUAAUGACGUGUUUGUUUGCUUGCAGCAAAACGACUUGAUAGUUUCAGCUAUCGUGCCGACAUUUUCUCGCUUGAAAAUUGUUAAUUACUCUGCCGUGGAGUUAUGGCUCUUACGUUUUCCUCCUUCCGAUUCCCGACCAGUCGGCCACCUGAUGGUGAAAAUAUUCGGACGCAUAAACUUCAAGGAGACUAUCUACAAGGAACCCCCAAACUUCCCUGUGCUCUAACGGGAUCGGAUGCCUGCAGUAAGUCGGUUUAGUGAAUAAGGUUGUUUAGUAUUAGUCCUCGCGAUUGCAUACUCUGAAAUUAGAUUCUGUUCCAAACUAAAACCUUGGUAAUCUAGGCGAAGGGACUGAAAUUGCAAGUGUAUCGUAUUCAUCUGGGAUUCUCGAGGGAUUCCCAAUGUCCUCUCCAUUGAGGCUAGUUCACUUAAGUUCACGCUAGAUAGGUAGAGCUAGCAA